rnacentral:lncRNA from 1 species
UCCACCACCACCAUACUACUACCACUCUCCUCCUCCUCCAGUCAAAUCACCACCGCCACCGUACUACUACCACUCCCCGCCUCCUCCGGUGAAAUCCCCACCACCACCAUAUUACUACCACUCACCACCUCCACCGGUGAAAUCUCCACCACCACCAUACUAUUACCACUCACCACCUCCUCCGGUGAAGUCUCCUCCACCACCAUACUACUAUCACUCUCCACCACCACCGGUGAAAUCUCCUCCUCCUUACUAUUAUCAUUCUCCACCUCCUCCGGUGAAAUCUCCUCCACCACCGUACUACUACCAUUCUCCACCUCCUCCAGUCAAGUCUCCACCACCACCGUACUACUAUCAUUCACCACCUCCUCCGGUGAAAUCUCCACCACCACCAUACUAUUACCACUCACCACCCCCACCUGUGAAAUCUCCUCCUCCACCAUACUACUAUCACUCACCUCCUCCUCCGGUGAAAUCUCCACCACCACCAUACUAUUACCAUUCACCACCCCCUCCAGUCAAAUCUCCUCCUCCACCAUACUACUACCACUCACCACCUCCUCCAGUGAAAUCUCCACCACCACCAUACUAUUACAACUCUCCACCACCACCGGUGAAAUCUCCUCCACCUCCAGUCUACAUCUACGCUUCUCCCCCACCUCCCACCCAUUACUAGGCUCAUCAAAUUCAACCAAAUUUCCCCAUUAUUCAAGUAAGUCCCCACGGUCCAAAACGUUCAAGUUACUCUUUAUCACCCACUUCAAUAUUACUUUGUCCUAAAAUCUCAGUUUCUUUCUUCACAGGUUUUCUUUUAAAAAAUGGAAUAAAGGAAGGGUCAAUGUCAAAGAGGAGAAGAAGUGAACCAAAUAAGGAUCGUCGCGUGGAAACCAGGAGUCCUACAUCACCAACAAUGAUCCACAUCACUUCCUCUUAUUCAUUGUCGCUCAUCUUCCACUUCUGCAUAAUCAUCGUCGUGUCUUCGUCAAGUCAAAUUGUUUCCAAGACCCCUUUAGAUCGUUUCAUACUCUUCUUUGUUUCCUUUUGCUGUUAAGUGAGAAAAAUGGGUCUCGUAAUUUAUUUGUUUGUGCAUACAUUUUCUAUAUUUUUUGUUCUUUAAUGUAAUGAGAGAUUUGUUAGCAAAUAAAAAAGUGUUCAGUUUCUUGUUUCUUAAGGUUGUUCGAUUUAAAAAUAUUUUCCUGUAUUGAAAACAUAACCUUGGAAAGACAAAAAUUAUUACAAGACAUUCUUUUGAGUUGGGCACAACGUCGUUUCAUAUCUGUUCGUACAGACAGAAUGUUAUCAACUUAUUAUCUUC